CCCGCUGAACUUAAGCAUAUCAAUAAGCGGAGGAAAAGAAACUAACAAGGAUUCCCCUAGUAACGGCGAGUGAAGCAGGAAGAGCUCAAAUUUAAAAUCUGGUUUGCUUGCAAAUCCGAGUUGUAGUCUGAAGAAACGUUUUCCAUGAAAAUCGAGGCACAAGUCCUUUGGAACAGGGCAUCAUAGAGGGUGAGAAUCCCGUCCAUGGUCUCGAAUCUUUCAUUUUGUGAUACGUUUUCUAAGAGUCAGGUUGUUUGGGAGUGCAGCCUAAAAUGGGUGGUAAAUUUCAUCUAAAGCUAAAUAUUGGCGAGAGACCGAUAGCGAACAAGUACCGUGAGGGAAAGAUGAAAAGAACUUUGAAAAGAGAGUUAAAAAGUACGUGAAAUUGUUGAAAGGGAACCGUUUGAAGCCAGUGUUGCUUGCCUGUGAUCAAUCUUAGCUUUGGCUUGGAUGCACUCUCAGGCUAUGCAGGUCAACGCCAGUUUUUGAGGUGUGAAAAAAGUUUGAGGAAUGUGGCCUUUGGGUGUUAUAGCCUCUUACUAAAUAGCAUCUCUUGGACUGAGGCUCGCAGCAAAAAUGUGGGUUGGUUUGCUCCUGAGUUGAAGCUUUAUCAAGACAGCUUGCUGACUUGGUUUUGUGGAAGUUUACGGUAGACCGGCUUCUAAUUUGCUUAGGUCGUUGACAUAAUGGCUUUAAAUGACCCGUCUUGAAACACGG
rnacentral:rRNA from 1 species